CUUGGUCAUUUAGAGGAAGUAAAAGUCGUAACAAGGUUUCCGUAGGUGAACCUGCGGAAGGAUCAUUACCUAGAGUUUGUAGACUUCGGUCUGCUACCUCUUACCCAUGUCUUUUGAGUACCUUCGUUUCCUCGGCGGGUCCGCCCGCCGAUUGGACAACAUUCAAACCCUUUGCAGUUGCAAUCAGCGUCUGAAAAAACAUAAUAGUUACAACUUUCAACAACGGAUCUCUUGGUUCUGGCAUCGAUGAAGAACGCAGCGAAAUGCGAUAAGUAAUGUGAAUUGCAGAAUUCAGUGAAUCAUCGAAUCUUUGAACGCACCUUGCGCUCCUUGGUAUUCCGAGGAGCAUGCCUGUUUGAGUGUCAUGAAACUCUCACCCUUCAACUUUCUUAAUAGUGGUUGCGGGCGUGGACUUGAGCGUUGCUGGUUUUUAUUAACCGGCUCGCUUGAAAUGAAUUAGCAGAUCCUUUUUGUAAUCGGUUCCACUCGACGUGAUAAGUAUUUCGCCGAGGACAUCUUAACGGAUGGCCGAGAUAAAGAAAGUCUUAGAUCCGCUUCUAAUUCUUAGCUUUACGCAAGUAAACUAAACCCAUUUUAUGAUCUGGCCUCAAAUCAGGUAGGACUACCCGCUGAACUUAAGCAUAUCAAUAAGCGGAGGAAAAGAAACUAACAAGGAUUCCCCUAGUAACGGCGAGUGAAGCGGGAUGAGCUCAAAUUUAAAAUCUUGCAGCCUCAGGUUGUACGAGUUGUAGUCUAGAGAAUCGUUUUCCGCGUUGGCCUGUGUACAAGUCCCUUGGAACAGGGCGUCAUAGAGGGUGAGAAUCCCGUCCUUGACACAGACUACCAAUGCUUUGUGAUGCGAUCUCGAAGAGUCGAGUUGUUUGGGAAU
rnacentral:sRNA from 1 species